GGUCUGCGUGUGCUUAGAACUAGACUAGUCUAUUACUAUUAGUUCAUCGUCGAUCCGUCGUCCCAUGCCCUCCUCAGAGACAGACCACGCCACAGAAGCCGCUAAAAUGGUGUUUUCGAGAUGUUUUAAGAGGGGCAGGUAGACACUUGAUGACAAUCAACGCAAAGGCACAAGGUCACUGUCAAGAUAAAGGAGAAAUGGCAUGUGUACUCCACCGAUUGUGAGAAGGGGCUCUUGAUUAUCCUUUGAAAAAAAGUGGUAGAUCAAGUUGAUCCAGUGUAACAGUAGCAGCAAAUCUAUGAGAUUUCAUAUGGGAUCCCUUUAAGUACAAGGUCUACGCAGCUUCACACACGCACUGAGAGGGACCUGGCAGAGGCUAAUAGCAUGGCCCUUGGUAUGAUCAGCCUAAGGUUAAGGUUGAUUCAACGAGACAUUAAAUGGAGAUUUUUCAGUGAAUAUUUUUUUAAUGUUUAAUUCCAGAUAUUUAAUUGUCUCAAGUAAAAAAAUAUGUGUUCACUAGUGUUGAUUUGAAAAAAAAGCUCCUGCUGUGGCAAUCGAAAAGAGCGCUAUAUUUUGAUUUCUUACAAAGAAGUUUCAGAACCUAUGACUAUAAAAUUUCACACUUUAUAUCUAAAGGGUUUAAUUAUUUAAAAUAAUUUGCAAGUUUCUUGGAGGUUACACAAAUUUGAAAAAGUGUAAUUUGUAAGAGUUUACAGAACUCAAUAUCACUGUAUUUUGAUGAUAUUUAAUUUGGGUUUGAAUUAGAGCAAACAAUUUAAGAUUAUACAAGUUAAACAAAUAGGGUGUGUAGUUUGAUAAAUGUGGGAUAUCCAUUUGUUUCAUUAUACUACAAAUUUUUGUGAAAGGUCGAUCAUCCACUAUUGUUAGAGGAAACCUCACAAAACCUCACCCUAAAGAAUAAGCGUAGGUAUUCUGAAAAGUGAGAUGUAUUUCUGCCGGCCCUAUGAUGUACAAAAUUCCUUACGAAAA
rnacentral:lncRNA from 1 species